AAGGAAUGACAUCUUUUUGUCUUUUUACAUCAAUCAUGCCCACAAGUUUGAGGAAGCAUGAUGCUGUCUCAUUGGUUUACUCCACUUUGUGAUUAUAAUCCCAGACCAGAACAAUCCAUCAUGCUCCACUUGUCUUGACGUCCUCAGGGGCUCACGGCUCUCAUGAGAGCAAAAGAGUACAAUUUUUACCCAAUAAAGGUCUGCUCGGCCAGGUUGGUGCCUCCUACAACAACAUAUGAAACACAAAAAACCCACAUGCAUGUUGCUGCCCUUCUAAUUCAAUUAAGGUUCAAUGUACUACAAUUGUUUAAGAGGCUGCGCAGUGGCACAUUCUGUUUGUUUUACAGCUGGUAAACCAUUUGACCAUAUUUAUACCAUAAUACCAUAUUGUUCUGAAUAUAAGUUGGCAUUUAAAAAGUUCUAAAUAUGGGGGUUUGUCUUGUAUUUGGGGUGGGGGGAGUAGAGUUUGUACAUGUUAUAUACAUCCCACAAUAGCUGUUGACAAUUACAUGUUAUAUAGGUGUGGCCCACAGACCUGAAGCAUCCUAACACUCUGGCUAGCUUAGGGUGCUCAAUAUCUGAGGAACAUAGUGAUUGUCCUGAAAAGAUGGUGCCUCAAAAACUGAUAAAGCAAAGGAGAAUAAAUUUUAAUAUAAAUUUUGUGCUCAUGGUGAUGAAUGCAGUAGAGUCAUCAAACAGCUCUCAAGCAGCCAUGAACAUUAAUUACAUCCAGCAUGGCAGAAUGCAAUUUUUGAAGAUAGCGCGCCCAAAAACACCAUCGUAAAAAAAAGAAACAACAUCCACAAAAGCUUACUGUGGUCCUAAAAGCAGAAGUGUGUCAGUAUGUUGAUGAAAGAAGGAACUCAGAAGCUGCCUAUAUAAUGUGCUUUUAUUUGAAUUAUUUUCAAAUAAAAGCAUUGUCUUUAUAUCUUUUAGAAGAUUUGGUCUUCAAAAGUAUUCUUUCCUACAAUAUGUCUAGAAAAAGUGGAGUUGGGGGUUGUCUUGCAAUCAGGAUCACCUUAUAUUCAGAACAACAGGGUCGUUGGUUUUCUUGUCAGCUGUUGGUGAAGGUAGUUUUCAGUGCUACAUUUUAAGUACAUAAAUCUUUCCUCUCAAACAGAAGUUUGCCCAGCAUUUUCCAACAAUGGUAAGGAUGCAUACUGGAGAAAUGCAAGAUAAAAACACA